GAUCUGUUGGACUCUCCAGUGAGUCACCCCCCUUCCUUUGGUCAGUUUGGGACUGCGAUGAGACACCACUACUAAGCGACUGAGGCGCUGAUCAAAGGGGAGAGCCUGGCUGAAGGGCAACCAGCCAGCCUGUGGAGAGAAGUAUCUAAGUUUGAAUUGAGGAGGAAAUGAAAUGACCCAUCACAAAAUGACAUUCUUCUAAACGAAGUAUUUAAGAGGUUACAAUGGGAUCCUACUAAGAAGAGCCACAUUUCCCAGAAAAAAGAUAACCCUCUUAAUAGCAUUCAGAUUAUAAAUGGUCUCUCAGUAUUAACAUAGUAUUAACAUAGUUGCCAACCCUGGUGUGAUCCCACUGACUUCAGGGGGAUUAGGCCAGUUAAGAUGACCUUUUUUAUUAAAUAGAAGCAAACAUGGAAUUUUUGGAGUGCAAAUCCAUAAAAAAAUCUAGAACCACAAUUUUGUACCCCUAAUUGUACUGGGAAUCCAAUGUCUUCAUCAAAGAGAUGUCCAUGCCCACAUGUUUUUGCUCUUUCAGUUGAGUAUGCAAUUGAUUUCUCAGUGCUAAAUAACCUCUGUUUAAAAAUAAUUAUGAAUCCAAAUGCUAUGACAGCAGAGAAAACGAGAAGUUCUGGUAUCUGAUGAGGAUAAUUAUAAAAAUAUGUCACUCAGAGUCCUGAUUUUGCAACCUUUCCAUGUGUGAAUUUCAUGUAUUCAACAGAAACUAAACUGACACCAACUCAUGUCAGGUGGGCAUAUUGACCUAGAUCCUCAAAGGUAUCUAGGCUCCUAAUUUCCAGUUAAAUAAUUUUGCAUUGAUGAUAGUGGGAGUUGGGAACCUAAAGACCUUUGAGGAUCUGGCCCAUUUCAGCCCCUUUAAGGCUCACUCUUAUGUAUUCAGUAUGCAAACAACAAGCUAAACAAUAAGAAAAGUAAACUAUCAACCCAUACACAAAUUUGUGUAAGUUUAAAACAGUACUGUAAAACCAAAUAUAGUAGCUAGAGAACUGGAAUACACCGUGUUUCUCACUGUAAAUGCUAUUUAUUGUAGGUACGUAACAUUUACAUAUAAAAGUAUGCUCUACUUUGAUAAGAUAACAUUGGCAUUUUGAUGUUAUUUGGUGUGUAUAUACAGUAUGCUGAGUCAGUUCCUGCACAUUACUUUCAUUCACCACUAACUGCUAUAAAAAUAAGCUAUCAAACUUUGUGGAAUUUAUGUAUGAAACUAUGUUAUCUAUGCCUUGCAAAACUUACAUUUUAAUUUACAUUUCUUAUCUGCAAGGACAAACUGCUCUGAAUUAAUGAUAGUGUGCCAUAAGCUACUCAGACAAGAAAUGCCCACUUAUAAGGGUAAAAUUAUUAUGAUUAUAUUUGUUAAGAUUACAAUAGCACCCAAAAUUCACUAAUCAUAUAUGGAAUUUUUGCCAAAAAGAGUUUUUCACAAUCUAAAAAGACAAAAACAGACAAGGGAUAGAGGAAAUGCUUACAACAUGCAAGCAAAAUUAUCAGUGUGGCAUACCUAAGCUUCCUUGAGGAGAAGCUGUGUCAUCAAACACACAAACCCAGAGCCACUCCUGAACUAACUUUAUUACUACAGCAACAAUGAUGAACAAAACACAAGGUCAUUCCGGCUCUUUGUUUUAAAGUUUUUAAUCUUCCAACUAAAAUUGCCAUAAUGUGAUAAAAUAAAGAAAUCUAAAACAA